rnacentral:rRNA from 1 species
CCUACGGGCGGCAGCAGUGGGGAAUAUUGGACAAUGGGGGCAACCCUGAUCCAGCCAUGCCGCGUGUGUGAAGAAGGCCCUCGGGUUGUAAAGCACUUUCAGUGAGGAAGAACGCCUGGUGGUUAAUACCCAUCAGGAAAGACAUCACUCACAGAAGAAGCACCGGCUAACUCCGUGCCAGCAGCCGCGGUAAUACGGAGGGUGCGAGCGUUAAUCGGAAUUACUGGGCGUAAAGCGCGCGUAGGUGGCUUGAUAAGCCGGUUGUGAAAGCCCCGGGCUCAACCUGGGAACGGCAUCCGGAACUGUCAAGCUAGAGUGCAGGAGAGGAAGGUAGAAUUCCCGGUGUAGCGGUGAAAUGCGUAGAGAUCGGGAGGAAUACCAGUGGCGAAGGCGGCCUUCUGGACUGACACUGACACUGAGGUGCGAAAGUGUGGGUAGCAAACAGGAUUAGAUACCCGAGUAGUC